rnacentral:rRNA from 1 species
UACGUAGGGUGCAAGCGUUAAUCGGAAUUACUGGGCGUAAAGCGUGCGCAGGCGGUUUUGUAAGCCAGAUGUGAAAUCCCCGGGCUUUAACCUGGGAAUGGCAUUUGGGACUGCAAGGCUUGAGUGCGGCAGAGGAGACUAGAAUUCCUGGUGUAGCAGUGAAAUGCGUAGAUAUCAGGAGGAAUACCGAUGGCGAAGGCAGGUCUCUGGGCUGACACUGACGCUCAUGCACGAAAGCGUGGGGAGCAAACGGG